AGAAGCUACAGAUCUCGCAGAACAAGUUCUUCCGCAUGACUAGACACAUGGAUGAUUGUUGUGAUUGUUGUCUGUUGUUUAGCAAUGUUAGCUGUUCCACUGGUUUUACUUCUUUGUGUAAAAUGUGGAUGUUGUAAGGUUGUUCGAAAAACCUCCCCAGGUCAACAUGAAAUGGUUCCGCCUGGAUAACAAUAUGGACAACCAGGAGCUAUGUAUGGUCAGCCUCAGAGCGGAAUGCCUCCACAGUACGGACAACCAACUCAAUACGGACAACCAUUCCAUACGGACAACCGAACGGUUUUGCACAACAAAAUGCCUUUGGGCAACCAGUUGAAAAUCAGUUUUCUUAUAGUGGUGGAAAAUACUGAGCAUGUGCUCAAUUUGCCUUUUGAGUAUGUGCAUAUAGAACAUGAAUUAUC